UUUCCGGUUGAUCCUGCCGGACCCCACUGCUAUCGAGGUGGGACUAAGCCAUGCUAGUUGAGCGCACAGAACUAUGUCUGUGAGCGGCACACUGCUCAGUAACACGUAGCUAACCUACCCUUAGGACGUGGACAACCCCGAGAAAUUGGGGCUAAUCCGCGAUAGAUGUAAUGUCCUGGAAUGGUAUUACGUCCAAAGGUAUCCCAUACAUGUUUGGUAUACGCCUAAGGAUGGGGCUGCGGCCGAUCAGGCUGUUGGUGAGGUAAUGGCUCACCAAACCUUUGACCGGUACGGGCCAUGAGAGUGGUAGCCCGGAGAUGGACACUGAGACAAGGGUCCAGGCCCUACGGGGCGCAGCAGGCGCGAAACCCCCUCAAUGCACUUACGUGCGAAGGGGCUACCUCGAGUGCCACCUGAUGAAGGUGGCUUUUCCUAGGUCUAAAAAGCCUUGGGAAUAAGAGAGGGGCAAGACUGGUGUCAGCCGCCGCGGUAACACCAGCCCCUCGAGUGGUGGGGAUGAUUAUUGGGCCUAAAGCGUCCGUAGCCUGCCGUGUAAGUUUCCCGUUAAAUCCAGCGUCUUAAGCGUUGAACUGCGGGAAAUACUGCACGGCUAGAGAGUG
rnacentral:rRNA from 1 species